GGGAAACUCUGGAAACAAUCUCCUGGAUUGUCCCUCAGGAGAAGGCAACCUACCCUUAUGUCAGGGUGAGCUUAAGACUGAGCAACAUGUGAGGCAGGACCAGUGGGCUUGGCCCAAGUCAGGCCCCCAAACCUCUUGAGUGUUCAAGCAGUGGACUCCAGGGAGCAUUUUUUUAAUAAUAUGUUUCAUGUUCCAGGUCAAAUCAGCCAAAUCAGUUCCAAAUCCUAUCGAUUCAGCAGGAUUCAAUCAUCCAGAAAACCAUAUUGAUCGAGCAGGCAGAACUCAACCGUUCCAAACACCGUGCAAGCUGCUACGACUGGUGAGCAUCCUCUGUCCCAGAUCCAACACCCCGGGACUUCAGAUACUCCCAAAUCCAUUGGCAGGCAUCCUAUGCACAGCCCCAAGCAGGAGAGCGGUUUCUUGCCAGGAGCCUCAGCCCCAUUCGGGAAGGUGCUGCAUGCCUUUAACUUCCUGACAUGGUGGGUGCCAAGAACUUGCACUCCAAUUCAGAGUGACUAAUGACAAAGUUUCCUUCAGCUUUCCGAGAUGUACUUUAACACCUUGACCCUAACAAAUCAGCCUCAGCCAGCUUUUGCUCCCACCCCGAGGCAUUGCUCUUGUGAGCUGAAUUCUGCACAGCACUGAAGUGCUUGUAAUCUGCCUUCCCCCUUCUCUUGCAUUCAUCAGCUUUCCUUUCGCUAGGAUCUACUUUGCAGUUAGUCACUCAGCAAUAUGCAGCAUAACGGGCUUUAAUUUUCCUUGCUGGGCAGACAUGAAAUGUUCUUUCAUUUUCUGCAAUCCACGGCUGACGCAUGUUUUACUGGCCAGGGCUUGGCUGAGCCUCUGAUGCCUGCAGCUCGGUGCGAUUCUAUUUUGAGGCUGUACCAGCAUCUUCUGGAUUGGGCAGUUCUUCCCCAUGCUACUUGCUAUCUCUGGAGGAUGAUGAAGUAACGUUGGCUCAAAAUGCCACAGAAAGUUCCUUCCUUGCAGCAGCUUAGUGCUCCAGUUGGAUGUAUUAACAGCUUCAUGGAUGGUCAGAUGAAGCAGCUGCACCUCACACACUUUGCACUUGCAACUACCAGCUCUACAGACACCAAUGGGGGCCUGAGAGCUGAGCUGGUUCCUUGACUCAUUGGGCAUUACCACCAGCAAGACUUUGCAACUCAGAUGUAUUAUGUCCUAAUGAUACUUAUGAUCCUAACCCUUCAGGGGUUUUACUGAGGCAUAAUCCAUGAGAAUUUACAAGUAAGUCUGUUGCCGAUGUAUGAGAGGAAAUCGAGUCAGUCUCACCCUCCUAAAACUGUGUUGGCUUCUGAAGAAUUAACAAUAGUAAAAAACAAUAAAAUAAUCAUUUUAUCUACCAGGUACAUUCACCCCUGAAUAUACAGAUCUGUUGAGUUAGACAAGCCAUUUUUGUGUAAUCCUUUUUGGGAGAACUGCUUCUCCAGAAGUGAUGAAGUAACGUUUUUACUUACGCAGUAUAAUUAAAUUUUGGAAAGUGGA